rnacentral:misc_RNA from 1 species
GGAGAUGAGUAAUUAAGGCUAGGCUCAGUGCAGGGUAAGAAAUCACGAUUCGAAGGAGGAUUCCAAAGAUCGUCCAAAGCUGAGGUCUUGUGAAAAAGACGAGGAGCUUUGGACCAACGAAGCGGUGCAAGCUCUUGUGUCACGCUUUGCUCUGGAACCAGUCUUUGAAAUUUUAAUUCACGUUGCUUAGGGAGUUUGUAAGAUCGAGAGAAGAUCGGAACGUCUCUGGACGAAGGAAAGACCUGGACGGGAACGGAUAACACAGCAACU